rnacentral:rRNA from 1 species
CAGCAGCCACGGUAAUACGAAGGGUGCAAGCGUUACUCGGAAUUACUGGGCGUAAAGCGUGCGUAGGUGGUGGUUUAAGUCCGUUGUGAAAGCCCUGGGCUCAACCUGGGAAUUGCAGUGGAUACUGGGUCACUAGAGUGUGGUAGAGGAUAGUGGAAUUUCCGGUGUAGCAGUGAAAUGCGUAGAGAUCGGAAGGAACAUCUGUGGCGAAGGCGACUAUCUGGGCCAACACUGACACUGAGGCACGAAAGCGUGGGGAGCAAACAGGAUUAGAUACCCCCGUAGUCCCUGUCCUCUUAUA